GAUGAAGAACGCAGCGAAAUGCGAUAAGUAAUGUGAAUUGCAGAAUUCAGUGAAUCAUCGAAUCUUUGAACGCACAUUGCGCCCGCUAGUAUUCUGGCGGGCAUGCCUGUUCGAGCGUCAUUUCAACCCUCAGGCCCCCAGUGCCUGGCGUUGGGGAUCGGCCGCUGGCGUCCUUCGGGGCGCCUGGCCGGCCCCGAAAUCUAGUGGCGGUCUCGCUGUAGUCCUCCUCUGCGUAGUAGCAUACACCUCGCACUGGAGAGCGGCGCGGCCACGCCGUAAAAGAAACGAACUUUCUCAAGGUUGACCUCGGAUCAGGUAGGAAUACCCGCUGAACUUAAGCAUAUCAAUAAGCGGAGGA
rnacentral:misc_RNA from 1 species